AAUUAAAAGGUCUUUCAAAGUUAAAAGAAGUCCCGAAGAAGAAGCCCAGAUUCAUAGAAUCCGAAUUACAUUGACAAGCAGAAAUGUGAAAAGUCAUGAAAAGGUUUGCAGUGAUCUGAUGAUAUUCUGAUCAAGGGCGCUAAGGAGAAGAAGCUUCAAGUCAAAGGUCAUGUACGAUUGCCCACCAAACGUCUGAGGAUCACAACAAGGAAGACGCCAUGUGGUGAAGGAUCUAAGACUUGGGACAGAUUUGAGAUGAGGAUUCAUAACUUGAAGAUUGAUUGAUUUGCACAGUCCUUCCGAGAUUAUGAAACAAAUCACAUCAAUAGCUAUCAAUGAGCAUUGAGCCUGGUGUUGAGGUUGAGG